AAGCAGAUACACUGCUAUGAACAGAAAGUCCUGGUGCAAGUCUCCGGGGUUUUCCCGAGGCCCCUCUAUGUCCUUUUCUUAUGACUUCAUUUAGUUAUUUGAGGCUUCCAAGGAUCUUUGUAAUAAAGAUAAGGUAAGUGAAUUUUCUCAUCGUUUUCUGAAUUCAUUCAAGUUGAAUUUUAGAAAUUUACCUGAAACAUCUCUGCUUCCCCAAGAUCCAAGUCUAUGCUCUACCAGCUUUAUUAGAUAGCAGUAGCAGAUGAGAGGGAAAUCCUGUUGGCCAGGUGUUGGCGGUACAGAAGGAAGAAAAGCAACGUCAGAGAAAUGUGCAUUUGAGCGAGCAUCCGGAUGGACUACCAGGGAUCCCUGGGAAAAAAACUUGUGGAGGGCUGAUGAUGUAGCCGGAAGGAUGCAUGCUGUCAAGACGAACCACCUGGGUUUGAUCCUUGGGACCCCGCAUAAUGGAAGAACAGAGCUGACUCCAGCAAGUUGUCCUCUGACCUCCACUUGAGUUCACACACACACACACACACACACACACACACACACACACACAAUGUAAAAAAAAACUGGCAUAGUACUUAAAAAAUACCAACAGAAUCACAAUUGCAACUAAUCCCACCAUCUUAAAUUCUGUUUCACACACACACACACCACACACACACACACGACCUGUCUCGCCUGUUUGAAAACACUGGAUUGUAACGUGAUUGUACCUGUAAAGUGACCGCUAGAGCGUUUCAGGGAGAAUUGUCAUCUAAACUCAAGGAAAAAUCAGAAACAGCAAUUCAGAAUCUCAGAACCUCCUGCUUCUCUAUCCCCCGAGCAAUGGAAAUAGAAGAUUUAAUUACAGAUACCAGGGUUUAACCUUACCAUGGAGGUGUACUCUAAGAUGCUCAAUCCAUUUUCAUGAAUAGCCAGCCACACAAAAGUAUUGCCAGAUGACGAUGGAGCUAU